ACGGGAGGCAGCAGUGGGGAAUAUUGGGCAAUGGGCGCAAGCCUGACCCAGCAACGCCGCGUGAAGGAUGAAGGUCUUCGGAUUGUAAACUUCUUUAAUCGGGGAAGAAAAAAAUGACCUACCCGAAGAAUAAGCCACGGCUAACUACGUGCCAGCAGCCGCGGUAAUACGUAGGUGGCAAGCGUUGUCCGGAAUUACUGGGUGUAAAGGGAGCGCAGGCGGGAAAUCAAGUUGGAUGUGAAAUGUCGGGGCUUAACCCCGGAACUGCAUCCAAAACUGAUUUUCUUGAGUGAAGUAGAGGUAGGCGGAAUUCCGAGUGUAGCGGUGAAAUGCGUAGAUAUUCGGAGGAACACCAGUGGCGAAGGCGGCCUACUGGGCUUUAACUGACGCUGAGGCUCGAAAGUGUGGGGAGCAAACAGGAUUAGAUACCCUGGUA
rnacentral:rRNA from 1 species